AGAGUUUGAUUAUGGCUCAGUUGAACGCUGGCGGCAUGCCUUACACAUGCAAGUCGAACGGCAGCACGGGAGCAAUCCUGGUGGCGAGUGGCGAACGGGUGAGUAAUACAUCGGAACGUGCCCUGUAGUGGGGGAUAACUAGCCGAAAGACUAGCUAAUACCGCAUACGACCUGAGGGUGAAAGUGGGGGACCGCAAGGCCUCAUGCUAUAGGAGCGGCCGAUGUCUGAUUAGCUAGUUGGUGGGGUAAAGGCCUACCAAGGCGACGAUCAGUAGCUGGUCUGAGAGGACGAUCAGCCACACUGGGACUGAGACACGGCCCAGACUCCUACGGGAGGCAGCAGUGGGGAAUUUUGGACAAUGGGGGCAACCCUGAUCCAGCAAUGCCGCGUGUGUGAAGAAGGCCUUCGGGUUGUAAAGCACUUUUGUCCGGGAAGAAAUCGCACCUGAUAAUACCGGGUGUGGAUGACGGUACCGGAAGAAUAAGGACCGGCUAACUACGUGCCAGCAGCCGCGGUAAUACGUAGGGUCCAAGCGUUAAUCGGAAUUACUGGGCGUAAAGCGUGCGCAGGCGGUUGUGCAAGACCGAUGUGAAAUCCCCGGGCUUAACCUGGGAAUUGCAUUGGUGACUGCACGGCUAGAGUGUGUCAGAGGGGGGUAGAAUUCCACGUGUAGCAGUGAAAUGCGUAGAGAUGUGGAGGAAUACCGAUGGCGAAGGCAGCCCCCUGGGAUAACACUGACGCUCAUGCACGAAAGCGUGGGGAGCAAACAGGAUUAGAUACCCUGGUAGUCCACGCCCUAAACGAUGUCAACUAGUUGUUGGGGAUUCAUUUCCUUAGUAACGUAGCUAACGCGUGAAGUUGACCGCCUGGGGAGUACGGUCGCAAGAUUAAAACUCAAAUGAAUUGACGGGG
rnacentral:rRNA from 1 species